GCGAUAGUCGUUUUAGUGGUUUAAGAUGCCUCCCUGUCACGGAGGGCGACGUGGGUUCGAAUCCCAUCUAUCGCGCCA
rnacentral:tRNA from 1 species